CCUACGGGGGGCUGCAGUAGGGAAUUUUCCGCAAUGGGCGAAAGCCUGACGGAGCAAUACCGCGUGAGGGAUGACUGCCUAUGGGUUGUAAACCUCUUUUUUCAGGGAGGAAUAAAUGACGUGUACCUGAAGAAUAAGCAUCGGCUAACUCCGUGCCAGCAGCCGCGGUAAGACGGAGGAUGCAAGUGUUAUCCGGAAUCACUGGGCGUAAAGCGUCUGUAGGUGGCUCGACAAGUCAACUGUUAAAUCUUGAAGCUCAACUUCAAAAUCGCAGUCGAAACUAUCGGACUAGAGUAUAGUAGAGGUAAAGGGAAUUUCCAGUGGAGCGGUGAAAUGCGUAGAGAUUGGAAAGAACACCGAUGGCGAAGGCACUUUACUGGGCUAUUACUGACACUCAGAGACGAAAGCUAGGGUAGCAAAUGGGAUUAGAUACCCAUGUAGUC
rnacentral:rRNA from 1 species